GGAGGGAGCGAGCGUUGUUCGGAAUCACUGGGCGUAAAGGGCGCGUAGGCGGCCGAGUAAGUCGUGUGUGAAAGACCGGGGCUCAACUCCGUGUACUGCAUGCGAUACUGCCCGGCUAGAGAAAGGUAGAGGCGAGUGGAAUUCCCGGUGUAGCGGUGGAAUGCGUAGAUAUCGGGAAGAACACCUGUGGCGAAGGCGGCUCGCUGGGCCUUUUUCUGACGCUGAAGUGCGAAAGCGUGGGGAGCAAACAGGGAUUAGAUACCCUGGUAGUCCACGCCGUAAACGAUGGGCACUAGGCGUUGGGAGGAUUGACCCCUCUCAGUGCCGUAGCUAACGCGUUAAGUGCCCCCGCCUGGGGGAGUACGGCCCGCAAGGCUG
rnacentral:rRNA from 1 species